GGGUGGUAGUUCAUGAGCUGAGGACCUUAAUUUUUCAAAUGUUUAAAAAAAAGUGGAGGGGGCAGUUUGGGGGCUAGACUUUUGGGGUGCCAAUGAUUGGCUAUAUCUGGCAGUAUUCUUUUGUGUUCAGAGAUCAUACAGAGAAUAAGGUAAGUGAUCUUAUAUAUGCAUAUAUAGCUGUUUAUUACCCACUUAACCACAUUUGAAACUGAAGAUGCAUGUGCCAUGGUCCAUGGUUACUUUUCAGUGUUUAUCUUUUCUCAAAAAAAAAUAUGUUUAUGGAUUUGAUUGACCUUAUGCUAGCUUGUGGAUUAUUCACCAUGCAUGGUCGUCCAGCCUGAGCCAAUAAGGCAGGUUUUCGUGGGUUGCUGUCCAAGAAGGUACGAGUUAUUCGUGAAGUCAACCCAGUUGAGAACCUGAGAUGAGAUUUUUG
rnacentral:lncRNA from 1 species